GAGGAGGUAGUGACGAAAAAUAACAAGACCGGUCUCUAUGAGGCCGGUUAUUGUAAUGGGUACAAUUUAAACCCGUUAACGAGGAUCUAUGAGAGGGCAAGUCUGGUGCCAGCAGCCGCGGUAAUUCCAGCUCUUAUAGUGUAUAUCGUUACUGCUGCGGUUAAAAAGCUCGUAGUUGGAUCUGCAUUCAAGCUCUUGGUCCACCAAUUUUGGUGCUGAACCAAGUUUAUUUUUGGCUUGAACAAUAAUUAAUGCUGGUUUUUUUUUGCUAUAGGUUACCUUUAUUGGUCGCCUAUAGUGGCUGGCAAGUUUACUUUGAAAAAAGUAAAGUGAUUAAAGCAGGCUAUUUAUGCCUGAAUAAUGGUGCAUGGAAUAAUGAAAUAGGAUCUCGAUUCUAUUUUGUUGGUUUUCUGAAUUGAGAUAAUGAUUAAGAGGGACAAACGGGGGCAUUCGUAUCGCUGCGCGAGAGGUGAAAUUCUGGGACCGUAGCGAGACGCCCAACUGCGAAAGCAUUUGCCAAGAAUGUUUUCAUUAAUCAAGAACGAAAGUCAGAGGUUCGAAGGUGAUCAGAUACCGCCCUAGUUCUGACCGUAAACGAUACCAACUAGCGUUCCGCCUUUGGCGUUUUUGCUUAGGCGGGCAGCUUCCCGGAAACGAAAGUUUUUCGGUUCCGGGGGGAGUAUGGUUGCAAAGCUGAAACUUAAAGAAAUUGACGGAAGGGCACCACCAGGAGUGGAGCCUGCGGCUUAAUUUGACCCAACACGGGAAAUCUCACCUGGCCCAGACACCGUAAGGAUUGACAGAUUGAUAGCUCUUUCAUGAUUUGGUGAUUGGUGGUGCAUGGUCGUUCUUAGUUGGUGGAGUGAUUUGUCUGGUUUAUUCCGAUAACGAGCGAGACUCUAGCCUACUAAAUAGUUAUGUGAUAUAUUUUCUGAAUAUCACAAAAUUAUACUUCUUAGAGGGACAAGCAGCGUUUAGCUGCACGAAAAAGAGCAAUAACAGGUCUGUGAUGCCCUUAGAUGUCC
rnacentral:rRNA from 1 species